CAGCCGUUUCUGGCAUUUCUUCUUCUCUUCUUUAGUUUUUCUUUUUCUUUCUUUUUCCUUCACCUUUAACCUUGGUUUUCUUGAAUAUUUUGAGGAUAUUUGGAACAUGAUUAUGGUGAAGUAGCUUGGAGAAGAAGAUCAUUUGAUAUUGAAGAAGCCUCAACAAUUGCUCUCUUUAUCAAUAAGCUUUUCUUUUCCUAUUUUCCAUUAUUGUGUUGUAAGAAUUUGAUGUUAUUUGUAAUAUUUCAUGGCUAACUAAAUAUAAUUGUGAUGGGGAUUAUUUCAAACCCGAGUUAUGAUUUUCAAUUAAUUUGUGCUUUAUAGUUCUCUUGAUUGAUGUGUUUAAUCCAUUGUGUUAAAUGUUAGUUUUGUUCUUCUUGAUUGCUUAGGUGUACAACUAAAUGAUUAUGUUGUUUCAAUUAAUGCUCUUUUGGGAUUUAUAGUACGUAAUAGCUAUUUAUUCUAAAACCUUGUAGCAAUUACAUUUCGAUAGAUUAUGAAGAAUUUUCAAUUGAAUGUAUGUAGAUUAACACUUAAGUUAGUAAAUCGAGCUUGCGAGUUUGCCCUUAAUUCAAUUCAUCUCUUUUGUCGUAGUGCGUUUGUUAAAUUAAAUCUAGAAAGCUUGUUCUAGGUUGUUUAACGAAAAGGGUCGAGUGAAAAUCUUGUUUUAUUCGACUAAUAUGUAAGAAGAGAUUGAGAUAAUUGAGCUUGUAAUUAUUCUCGAAUUGUUGUUAAUCUAGAGAACGAAAAUCUAUUGUGGUAAUUGACAUGAAAAUCAUUCUCAUGGUGACGAAAUAUCCCUCAAUCACAUUUUCUCGUAUUCAAUCAAAAAUCACUUUGUUUAUUUCAAAUUUCAAGUCUUUUCUAUUUCUAAUUUAUCGCUUUUCUUAGUUAAAUGAACCACACCCCCCAUUUACUAUAUUUUGCAUUUAAUUGUUAAUAUUAUGUUUUUGUGCGCAAUUGACAUAAUUGAAUCAAUUAUCUGCGGGAAAUGACCCUUACUUGCCUUAAUAGUACUCAAGACGACACACUUAAAUUAAGUAAGGAAAAUUAAUUGGUACACCAUUUGAAACGUAUCAAUUUUGACGCCGUGUCGUCGAGGAUUGUUCUAUCAAUUUGUUAAUUGCAAUAUUUUUCUUUUUGUUGUUUUUCUAUUUAUAUUUGUUAGUUUCUUUGUCUUUUAGGUUGUAAAUGAGCAAAAAACCUAUAGCACACUACAACCUGAGAUCAAGAAAAGAGGCCGACACAUCAAAAAGUGGAGAAGACAUUUCUCCAACUAGAUAUCUAAGGUGACUAAGCAUUGAAUCCUUAAGUAAGUCCAAAUACAUAGAGUCCGAAAUGGCGGAUGCAUAUCGAACCUUAAAGGAACUUGCAGCUCCAACUUUUGUUCAGCGACCUCUUUGCAUUCAAUACCCUCAAGUGGAGGUAGGUUUUGAACUAAAGUCCGGGAUGAUUCAUCUACUUCUCACAUAUCAUGGAUUCGUCAGAGAGGAUCCCAAUAAGCAUUUGAAGCUCAAGCAUGAAACCUACAGGUAUAUCGGAAGAGCAAGUGAAAUUACGGGCAUUCCCUUUCUCUCUUGCAGACAGUGCUAAGGAAUGGCUCUGUUAUUUGCCGACCGAUCUUAUUACCACGUGGAAUGAAAUGUAAAAGCUCUUCUUGGAGAGGUAUUUCCCAGCUUCAAAGGCUACAAACAUGAGGGAAAAAAUCUGUAGCAUUCGACAAUCUCAAGGGAAAAAUCUCUAUGAGUAUUGGGAGAUAUUCAAAAGGAUAUGUGAUAGUUGCCCAAACCACCAAAUCAGUGAACAUUUACUUCUACAAUACUUUUAUAAAGGAUUAUUACCGAUUGAGAGAAGUAUGAUUGAUGCGACCAACGGGGGAGCUUUAAUGAAUAAAACAUUGACAGUUGCUAGGGAUUUGAUAGCCAACAUGGUCACAAACUCACAAUAAUUUGGUAGUAGAGAAGCGACAUCGGUUAAAUAAGCAAGUGAGGUAGGAGCAACCUCUCAAAUUGAACAACAAAUAGCCAAUCUUACAUCUCUUGUACAACAAAUGGCACUUGGGACAAUGCAACAAGCAAAAGCGUGUGUAAUUGGUUCUAUUGUGGGACACCCUACUGAGUUAUGCCCGACACUACAAGAAGGAGCCUCAGAGCAAGCGAAUGCCAUUGGAGGAUUUCCAAUGCAAUAGAGAUAGAGAUAUGAUCCAUAUGCUAACACAUAUAAUCUUGGAUUUAGAGAUCAUCCUAAUCUCAGUUAGAGAGGAAAUCAUUUCAUAGCUCCACAAUCAUAGUUUAAUCAUUUCCCGGGGUUCAAUCAACAAAGGCAACCACAACACUCUCAACCUCAUCAACAAACUCCACCUCAAAGUUCAGAGAUGUCUCUUGAGUAUAUGGUUAAGUCCUUGGCUUCUAGUACAAUACAAUUUCAACAAGAGAAAAAAAACCUCAAUUAAGAAUUUGGAGACAAAAGUGAGUCAAUUGGCCAACACUGCGGGUAAAUUGGAAGCUCAAGGAUCGGGAAAACUUCCUUCUCAAGCAAUCAACCCGAGAGAAAAUGCU
rnacentral:lncRNA from 1 species